rnacentral:rRNA from 1 species
UACGAAGGGGGCUAGCGUUGUUCGGAAUUACUGGGCGUAAAGCGCGCGCAGGCGGUCUUCCAAGUCAGUGGUGAAAGCCUGGAGCUCAACUCCAGAACUGCCAUUGAAACUGUUAGACUUGAGUACGAGAGAGGUGAGUGGAAUUCCCAGUGUAGAGGUGAAAUUCGUAGAUAUCGGGAGGAACACCAGUGGCGAAGGCGGCUUACUGGACAGGUCCUGACACUGAGACGCGAAAGCGUGGGUAGCAAACAGG